rnacentral:rRNA from 1 species
AAUCAACGCUGGCGGCGCGCCUAAUACAUGCAAGUCGAGCGAGAAGACGUAGCAAUACGUUUGUAAAGCGGCGAACGGGUGAGGAAUACAUGGGUAACCUACCCUAGAGUGGGGAAUAACUAGCCGAAAGGUUAGCUAAUACCGCGUACGCUCCUUGGACUUCGGUUCAGGGAGGAAAGCGAUGCCGAGGGUAUCGCGCUCUUGGAUGGGCUCAUGUCCUAUCAGCUUGNGGUGAGGUAACGGCUCACCAAGGCUUCGACGGGUAGCUGGUCUGAGAGGACGAUCAGCCACACUGGCACUGCGACACGGGCCAGACUCCUACGGGAGGCAGCAGUAAGGAAUAUUGCGCAAUGGGCGAAAGCCUGACGCAGCGACGCCGCGUGGGGGAUGAAGGU